rnacentral:tRNA from 1 species
ACUUAAAUAGCUUAAAUUAUAGAGCAUAAUAUUGAAGAUAUUAGGGUAAUAGAAAUUAUUUUUAAGUA